rnacentral:rRNA from 1 species
AGUGAACGCUGGCGGUAGGCCUAACACAUGCAAGUCGAACGGCAGCACAGUAAGAGCUUGCUCUUACGGGUGGCGAGUGGCGGACGGGUGAGGAAUACAUCGGAAUCUACUUUUUCGUGGGGGAUAACGUAGGGAAACUUACGAUAAUACCGCAUACGACCUACGGGUGAAAGCAGGGCAUCUUCGGACCUUGCGCGAUUAAAUGAGCCGAUGUCGGAUUAGCUAGUUGGCGGGGUAAAGGCCCACCAAGGCGACGAUCCGUAGCUGGUCUGAGAGGAUGAUCAGCCACACUGGAACUGAGACACGGUCCAGACUCCUACGGGAGGCAGCAGUGGGGAAUAUUGGACAAUGGGCGCAAGCCUGAUCCAGCCAUACCGCGUGGGUGAAGAAGGCCUUCGGGUUGUAAAGCCCUUUUGUUGGGAAAGAAAAGCAGCAGGUUAAUACCCCGCUGUUCUGACGGUACCCAAAGAAUAAGCACCGGCUAACUUCGUG